AGCAGCCGCGGUAAUUCCAGCUCCAAUAGCGUAUAUUAAAGUUGUUGCAGUUAAAAAGCUCGUAGUUGAAUUUCGGGAUCAAUGCGUCGGUCGUGCCUUCGGUACGUACUAGCGUCAUUGAUUCCUCCCUUCUGAAGAUCCGUGAUGUCAUUAAUUUGGUGUUACGGGGAAUCAGGACUGUUACCUUGAAAAAAUUAGAGUGUUUAAAGCAGGCUAACGCUUGAAUACAUUAGCAUGGAAUAAUGAAAUAGGACGUUCGAACCUAUUUUGUUGGUUUCUAGGAUCGACGUAAUGAUUAAUAGGGAUAGUUGGGGGCACUAGUAUUCAAUUGUCAGAGGUGAAAUUCUUGGAUUUAUUGAAGACUAACUACUGCGAAAGCAUUUGCCAAGGAUGUUUUCAUUAAUCAAGAACGAAAGUUAGGGGAUCGAAGACGAUCAGAUACCGUCGUAGUCUUAACCAUAAACUAUGCCGACUAGGGAUCGGAUGAUGUUAAUUUUAUAAUUGACUCA
rnacentral:rRNA from 1 species